rnacentral:pre_miRNA from 1 species
UCGCGAAUGCUAGCACAAUUAUGUUAAUAACUCAGUUCAUAUUAUGCUAGUGUUCGUGGGU